rnacentral:rRNA from 1 species
UACGGGGGGGUGCGAGCGUUGUCCGGAUUCACUGGGCGUAAAGGGCGCGUAGGCGGCCUGGUCAGUCGGACCUUUAAGAGCGGGGCUCAACCCCCGGAUCUGCCGUGCCGACUGUCAAACUCGAGGGCUGUAGAGGCAGACGGAAUUCCGGGUGUAGCGGUGGAAUGCGUAGAGAUCCGGAGGAAGACCGGUGGCGAAGGCGGUCUGCUGGGCAGUUUCUGACACUGAUGCGCGACAGCGUGGGGAGCAAACAGG